rnacentral:lncRNA from 1 species
GGAGAUAAAAUAGGGCGAUACCCUGCAAACAUCUGCAGGGCUGUGCAGGGUCAGAGGAAGCAGCCCAGGUCUAAGGGAAGAAAUUUCGGGAAGGAAGUCACUGCUCCUAAAUGAAAAAGAGCUAUGCAACAUCAGAGCUGCCUGGGAGGGAUGGAGGUGCCUUCGGACUCUCAGUGUCUCCGCCCCAGCCUCAGUGCUGCACUUUGGAGCUUGCUUGCCUCCUCCACAGCCCUCCUUGCUAGCCCAGGACCAGGGGAGUGUGGGGUGACUGUGUUCUGGAUCAGGGACCAGGGCAGAGGUCUGAGGCUGCAGUGGUAAAAGAAAUAUCCCAGUUUGACUCCCCGGA